rnacentral:rRNA from 1 species
CCUACGGGCGGCAGCAGUGAGGAAUAUUGGUCAAUGGCCGGAAGGCUGAACCAGCCAUGCCGCGUGAAGGUCAGUGCCCUAUGGGCGUUAAACUUCUUUUGUGCGGGAGCAAUAAUGGUCACGUGUGGCCAGACGAGAGUACCGUACGAAUAAGCAUCGGCUAACUCCGUGCCAGCAGCCGCGGUAAUACGGGGGAUGCAAGCGUUAUCCGGAUUUAUUGGGGUUAAAGGGUGCGUAGGCUGUGAGGUAAGUCAGCGGUGAAAUGCCCCCGCUCAACGGGGUGAAGUGCCAUUGAUACUGCCUUGCUGGAAUGCGGAUGCCGUGGGAGGAAUGUGUGGUGUAGCGGUGAAAUGCAUAGAUAUCACACAGAACACCGAUUGCGAAGGCAUCUCACGAAUCCGCGAUUGAUGCUGAUGCACGAAAGCGUGGGUAUCAAACAGGAUUAGAUACCCCUGUAGUC